rnacentral:rRNA from 1 species
GAUGAACGCUGGCGGCGUGCCUAAUACAUGCAAGUCGAGCGAACGGACGAGAAGCUUGCUUCUCUGAUGUUAGCGGCGGACGGGUGAGUAACACGUGGAUAACCUACCUAUAAGACUGGGAUAACUUCGGGAAACCGUAGCUAAUACCGGAUAAUAUUUUGAACCGCAUGGUUCAAAAGUGAAAGACGGUCUUGCUGUCACUUAUAGAUGGAUCCGCGCUGCAUUAGCUAGUUGGUAAGGUAACGGCUUACCAAGGCAACGAUGCAUAGCCGACCUGAGAGGGUGAUCGGCCACACUGGAACUGAGACACGGUCCAGACUCCUACGGGAGGCAGCAGUAGGGAAUCUUCCGCAAUGGGCGAAAGCCUGACGGAGCAACGCCGCGUGAGUGAUGAAGGUCUUCGGAUCGUAAAACUCUGUUAUUAGUGAAGAACAUAUGUGUAAGUAACUGUGCACAUCUUGACGGUACCUAAUCAGAAAGCCACGGCUAACUACGUG